UACAGAGGUCUCAAGCGUUGUUCGGAUUCAUUGGGCGUAAAGGGUGCGUAGGCGGCGCGGUAAGUCGGGUGUGAAAUCUUGGAGCUUAACUCCGAAACUGCAUUCGAUACUGCCGUGCUUUGAGGACUGGAGAGGAGACUGGAAUUUACGGUGUAGCGGUGAAAAUGCGUAGAUAUCGUAAGGAAGACCAGUGGCGAAGGCGGGUCUCUGGACAGUUCCUGACGCUGAGGCACGAAGGUCAGGGGGAGCAAACGGG
rnacentral:rRNA from 1 species